GUGCUCAUUUAUGCAGCACUUCUACUACUGUUGAAACAAUACUGAGAAGAUUAGCCUGGCCUCUGCAUAAAAUUGAUAUGCAAAUUAAUAAAGUGUUUCAAUUUUGG
rnacentral:snRNA from 1 species